rnacentral:sRNA from 1 species
AACAUUCGAAAGUUCAACUCCGUUAGUCCGAACUUUCGGUUCCUGGGUUCUCCUGGCGCGUUGCGAAGCCGCGGAUGAUCCUCCCUCGUCCGUAGGUAAUGCGCCUACCUCGCCUCGCUCGUCUCUCGGCAAGCGAGGCUUUUU